rnacentral:rRNA from 1 species
CCUACGGGUGGCAGCAGUGAGGAAUAUUGGUCAAUGGACGAGAGGCUGAACCAGCCAAGUAGCGUGAAGGAUGACUGCCCUAUGGGUUGUAAACUUCUUUUAUGAAGGAAUAAAACGAGGCACGUGUGCCUUUUUGCAGGUACUUUAUGAAUAAGGAUCGGCUAAAUCCGUGCCAGCAGCCGCGGUAAUACGGAGGAUCCGAGCGUUAUCCGGAUUUAUUGGGUUUAAAGGGAGCGUAGAUGGGUUGUUAAGUCAGUUGUGAAAGUUUGCGGCUCAACCGUAAAAUUGCAAUUGAUACUGGCAGCCUUGAGUACAGUUGAGGUAAGCGGAAUUCGUGGUGUAGCGGUGAAAUGCUUAGAUAUCACGAAGAACCCCGAUUGCGAAGGCAGCUUACUAAACUGUGACUGACACUGAUGCUCGAAAGUGUGGGUAUCAAACAGGAUUAGAUACCCGAGUAGUC